rnacentral:lncRNA from 1 species
CAUCUCCCGUACAGCACCAGAAGACUCAACUUGCACAGGAUUAGCCAAUCUAAAUUCAGCCACCUCAGCACCAAUAGCGUCAUUAGCAUGUGCUGCAGCUGGACGGUGAAAAUCCGAGGGUGGAGCAGCAAAAUGCUCCUGUACAGCACCAGAAGACUCAACUUGCACAGGAUUAGCCAAUCUAAAUUCAGCCACCUCAGCACCAAUAGCGUCAUUAGCAUGUGCUGCAGCUGGACGGUGAAAAUCCGAGGGUGGAGGCAGCAAAAUGCUCCUGUACAGCACCAGAAGACUCAACUUGCACAGGAUUAGCCAAUCUAAAUUCAGCCAUCUCAGCACCAACAGCAUUAUUAGCAUGUGAUGCAGCUAGAUGGAGAAAAUACUGAGGGUGGAGCAGCAAAAUUCUCCU